rnacentral:misc_RNA from 1 species
CCCAACUAUCCCUAUUAAUCAUUACGUCAAUCCUAGAAACCAACAAAAUAGGAUCGUUACGUCCUAUUUUAUUAUUCCAUGCUAAUGUAUUCAAGCGUUAGCCUGCUUUAAACACUCUAAUUUUUUCAAAGUAACAAGUCCUGAUUCCCUGCAGCACCAAAUAAAUGGCAUUACAGUUCUUCAAGAAGGAGGAAUCAGUAAAGCCGGUACAUACCAGUGGUACGACCAACCUACUAACCCCGAAAUUCAACUACGAGCUUUUUAACUGCAACAACUUUAAUAUACGCUAUUGGAGCUGGAAUUACCGCGGCUGCUGGCACCAGACUUGCCCUCCAA